UCACGGCCUAUACAACCCUGCACACUUUAUCCCAGAGCUUAAAUCUUUUCCCUUCUUGCAGCUCUUCUUCUGUUAAGGGACCUAGAGCAGGACAUAAUCAUCUGUUCUUCUUAUGGAGGGGCUAAGGAACAAGAAAAAUGGAGUUGCAAAGGCCCAGCACCUCCCUGUGGCUUUUAAAACCAGGCAUUCAGCUCUGUGAAUAAAAGCAUUCUGCUGAUUUCUGCUGCCCUGUAUCCAGACGGAAGGAAUGGGUGAGUGAAUGACAGGCACCUGUUCUGUUUACAGUCAGUAAAGUAAACACAACACUACACGUAUGAACUCCACCGGAAAGAUGAACACUUAUGGUAUAUUUGGUGCCACUGUCCCAGGGAGAGUAGAAGUACAGGGUUUUGUUCUUCUGACUUGAGAAAUUUUUGUGCUAGAAGGGCCACUGAGGGUCAUCCAGGCCUAUCACUGCCCACCCCAAAUUUAUAGGUGAGGUCACUAGGGCCUGAGAUCUGAAGCAUGCAUGACAUCCCGAAUGAACUACAAAUCCUAGGUCAGAGUUAACAGUAGUGGUAACUGCACAGGAUGAGUUGGUGCAGGGUGACAAGCUCAUGCGUGGUAGCUAUUUUGAAUCAAUACCCCGUAACUAACCUCUGCUGUUUGAAACACCUGGCAGAGUGCUGCAACUCACCCUUGGGCAAAGCCCCACUCUCUGAGGCUGUGGUGGGGUUCAGGGAAUACUACCCCAAAAUAUGGCAGAUUGGCAUUGGAGAAAACGGCAGAAGCAGGAAGGCCUCUCUCACCUUCUCCUUGCCCUUCUUUUCCUGAAGCAGGCCAUGAAACCAAGCUGACUUUCUCCUGGAGCAAGGCAUAAGGUCCUUGUGUGAGAGGUGCCCACUCUUUACCUGGAGGGGAGGAACAUCUUUAUCUCUGAAGACACAGGGACGCAGAAGAAAAGCUGAACAAACAGGCCUUGCUGAGUUCCCCCUUGUAUAUAACUAAUUAGAUCAUACUCCCUUUGUCCAAUCACACUUCUCCACUACUGUCGACUUCUCCAUCAAACUUACAAUAAAAACACACAGGUGUCCCUAUUCCCUAUUU